CCUACGGGUGGCAGCAGUGAGGAAUAUUGGUCAAUGGACGAGAGUCUGAACCAGCCAAGUAGCGUGAAGGAUGACUGCCCUAUGGGUUGUAAACUUCUUUUAUAAAGGAAUAAAACGAGGCACGUGUGCCUUUUUGCAUGUACUUUAUGAAUAAGGAUCGGCUAACUCCGUGCCAGCAGCCGCGGUAAUACGGAGGAUCCGAGCGUUAUCCGGGUUUAUUGGGUUUAAAGGGAGCGUAGAUGGGUUGUUAAGUCAGUUGUGAAAGUUUGCGGCUCAACCGUAAAAUUGCAAUUGAUACUGGCAGUCGUGAGUACAGUUGAGGUAGGCGGAAUUCGUGGUGUAGCGGUGAAAUGCUUAGAUAUCACGAAGAACCCCGAUUGCGAAGGUAGCUUACUAAACUGUGACUGACAUUGAUGCUCGAAAGUGUGGGUAUCAAACAGGAUUAGAUACCCCAGUAGUC
rnacentral:rRNA from 1 species